AGUAAAAUUUCGCUGCUGUAGUGGUAAGGGGGUGCUAGAAAUUGCCUAGGGUCGCGGGUUCAACCCUCCCCAGUCUUCUUUUAUUACAUAUUUACUUGAACCCAUGUUCUCUUCCUACUUUCAAACAAUUCAUACCACUAGGCCAAUUAUUAAUUAUUGAUAUAACUUGAAACCAUUUAAUAUAUAUUCCAUAGAAAUUUGGCACCCCCAAGAAUUUAACUCAAGAUCCGCCACUGACCACAUUCAUAGCAUAAAAUUGUGACUUAUCAAUCAAGGUAAA
rnacentral:lncRNA from 1 species